GGACUACACGGGUUUCUAAUCCCGUUCGCUACCCUAGCUUUCGUACCUCAGCGUCAGAAGAGACCCAGUAAGCCGCUUUCGCCACCGGUGUUCCUGAUGAUAUCAACGCAUUUCACCGCUCCACCAUCAGUUCCGCUUACCCCUGUCUCCCUCAAGCCAUGCAGUAUGAAGCGCAGUUCCUCGGUUGAGCCGAGGGAUUUCACACCUCACUUACAUGGCCGCCUACGCACCCUUUAAGCCCAGUGAUUCCGAAUAACGUUUGUACGGUUCGUAUUACCGCGGCUGCUGGCAC
rnacentral:rRNA from 3 species